GAUGAACGCUGGCGGCGUGCCUAAUACAUGCGAGUCGAGCGAACAGACGAGGAGCUUGCUCCUCUGACGUUAGCGGCGGACGGGUGAGUAACACGUGGAUAACCUACCUAUAAGACUGGGAUAACUUCGGGAAACCGGAGCUAAUACCGGAUAAUAUAUUGAACCGCAUGGUUCAAUAGUGAAAGACGGUUUUGCUGUCACUUAUAGAUGGAUCCGCGCCGCAUUAGCUAGUUGGUAAGGUAACGGCUUACCAAGGCAACGAUGCGUAGCCGACCUGAGAGGGUGAUCGGCCACACUGGAACUGAGACACGGUCCAGACUCCUACGGGAGGCAGCAGUAGGGAAUCUUCCGCAAUGGGCGAAAGCUUGACGGAGCAACGCCGCGUGAGUGAUGAAGGUCUUCGGAUCAUAAAACUCUGUUAUUAGGGAAGAACAAAUGUGUAAGUAACUAUGCACGUCUUGACGGUACCUAAUCAGAAAGCCACGGCUAACUACGUG
rnacentral:rRNA from 1 species